GAUAAUUUUAGUUGUAUUUCUUUGUAAUUUUGUGUUUUACAAAGAUUAAUUUAACAUUUUCUCUGGAAGUAUUAAUUUAGAAAGAUAAUAUGCUUCAUUGGUGUUGUGUUUUGAAGUGUGAAAUGCAAAGUAAUUGUGAUAAAGUCAAGAUAAAGUUCACUUUUAAACUGAACUAAAUAAGGUAUCUGAGAGACAACAAUGGUUAAAUGCAAUACAAUGUACAGGUUUUACUAGCGAAAUGAAAAUUUUCCUGUCCUGUCUGCUGUAAUCAUUUUAUAUCUGGAAAACCAGCCGACUUAAUCGAUAAUAACAAUCUCCAGAUUGGGUUCCUUCAAUAAAUAUGGGCUAUAAACACAAUGAAAUAAGUUCCCCAAAAUCUAAAAUGAAGUGGUAUCAAAGGAGAAUUAAAGGAAAAAAUAUUCAUAUUGAAAUUAUUUAUAAGGCACUGGACUGUUUUAAAUUCUACAAUAAUACUAGAAUCAGCUGAGAGAAGUGGUCUACAAAAAACCAGGAAGGAAACGGAAUAUGUGGCUACGAAAGGCAAAAGAAAGGUUUACAAAGCAAAUGUGACACAUUUUUUUGAAAUAUUUAGGAAUAUCAGUAAAUUGCAUUAAAAAAAUGUAUGAAAAGAUUUUUUUCAAUAAAAAUGUUUAUAUUUA